rnacentral:rRNA from 1 species
AUUGAACGCUGGCGGCAGGCCUAACACAUGCAAGUCGAACCGUAGCACAGAGGAGCUUGCUCCUUGGGUGACGAGUGGCGGACGGGUGAGUAAUGUCUGGGAAACUGCCUGAUGGAGGGGGAUAACUACUGGAAACGGUAGCUAAUACCGCAUAACGUCGCAAGACCAAAGAGGGGGACCUUCGGGCCUCUUGCCAUCAGAUGUGCCCAGAUGGGAUUAGCUAGUAGGUGAGGUAAUGGCUCACCUAGGCGACGAUCCCUAGCUGGUCUGAGAGGAUGACCAGCCACACUGGAACUGAGACACGGUCCAGACUCCUACGGGAGGCAGCAGUGGGGAAUAUUGCACAAUGGGCGCAAGCCUGAUGCAGCCAUGCCGCGUGUAUGGAGAAGGCCUUCGGGUUGUAAAGUACUUUCAGCGGGGAGGAAGGUGAUACGGUUAAUAACCGUGUCAAUUGACGUUACCCGCAGAAGAAGCACCGGCUAACUCCGUGCCAGCCGCCGCCGUAA